rnacentral:rRNA from 1 species
GACGAACGCUGGCGGCGUGCUUAACACAUGCAAGUCGAACGGUGAAGCGCCUUCCUUUUUGGUGGGUGUGGAUGAGUGGCGAACUGGUGAGUAACACGUGAGUAACCUGCCCCCUUCUUCGGGAUAACCGCAUGAAAGUGUGGCUAAUACGGGAUAUUCUGGGUCUGUCGCAUGAUGGGUCUGGGAAAGAUAUUGUUUCGGUGGGUGAUGGGCUCGCGGCCUAUCAGCUUGUUGGUGGGGUGAUGGCCUACCAAGGCGGUGAGGGGUAGCCGGCCUGGGAGGGUGGACGGUACCACUGGGAAUGAGCCACGGACAAGACUCCUACGGGAGGCAGCAGUGGAGAAUAUUGCAUGAUGGGAGCAAGGAUGAUGCAGCGACGCCGCGUGGGGGAUGGAGGCCUUCGGGUUGUGAACCUCUUUCGCCAGUGAAGCAGGCCUGCCUAGUUUGUGGGUGGGUUGACGGUAGCUGGAUAAGAAGCGCCGGCUAACUACGUG